rnacentral:rRNA from 1 species
CAAGUCGAACGGUAACGCGGGGGCAACCCUGGCGACGAGUGGCGAACGGGUGAGUAAUACAUCGGAACAUGUCCUGGAGUGGGGGAUAGCUCGGCGAAAGCCGGAUUAAUACCGCAUACGCUCUGAGGAGGAAAGCGGGGGACCUUUCGGGGCCUCGCGCUGCAGGAGUGGCCGAUGUCGGAUUAGCUAGUUGGUGGGGUAAAGGCCCACCAAGGCGACGAUCCGUAGCUGGUCUGAGAGGAUGAUCAGCCACACUGGGACUGAGACACGGCCCAGACUCCUACGGGAGGCAGCAGUGGGGAAUUUUGGACAAUGGGGGCAACCCUGAUCCAGCCAUGCCGCGUGAGUGAAGAAGGCCUUCGGGUUGUAAAGCUCUUUCGGACGGAACGAAAUGGUUACGGUGAAUAUCCGUGACUGAUGACGGUACCGUAAUAAGAAGCACCGGCUAACUACGUGCCAGCAGCCGCGGUAAUACGUAGGGUGCGAGCGUUAAUCGGAAUUACUGGGCGUAAAGCGUGCGCAGGCGGUUCGCCAAGUCAGGUGUGAAAUCCCCGGGCUUAACCUGGGAAUUGCGCUUGAAACUAGCGGGCUUGAGUGUGGCAGAGGGGGGUGGAAUUCCACGUAUUA